AACAUGAAAUCGUGUCAGGCAGGGUCACUUUGCUUGAAGCUAAAAAUAAGGUGACUCGUUCUUUACCAGCCCGCCGGUUGGCGUGUACGGAACUAAAUUAAACAGCCAGGCUAAGUAUGUAGAACUGUCUGUAGAGUGCUUGCGGACGCGGGUUCAAUUCCCGCCGUCUCCACCA
rnacentral:tmRNA from 1 species